UUCCGCGGCGUACACACCGUGGCGCCAAGUUCCAUCAUCGCUUGGUUAAAGUCCCCAGGCCGAGUUUCGUCCAAUAAAGCGUUUGCAAUUUCCCGCACCGCCCUGCUCGCGCUGGUGUUGUUUUUCACCGCGUCCCCCCCGCCAACCACCGAGCCCAACCGCGUGGCGACCCUUAUAACAUUACCGUCCACCGCCGCGAUUGGUUCGUGAAACGCGAUGGACGCGACCGCCGCGGCGGUGUACGGCCCGACGCCCGGCACGCUGGACAGCGCUUUCGCGGUGUUUGGGAACGGGGAAAGAGUCUUCUCGGGGUGUUGUUUUCCAUCCGAAAGUUUUGAA
rnacentral:RNase_MRP_RNA from 13 species